AUUGAACGCUGGCGGCAGGCCUAACACAUGCAAGUAGAACGAGUGGCGGACGGGUGAGUAAUGUCAGGGAAAAUGCCUGAUGGAGGGGGCUAAAUACUGGAAACGGUAGCUAAUACCGAAUAACAUCAGAUUGGCCCAUAUGGGAUACGCUAGUUGGUGGGGUAACGGAUCACCAAGGCGAAGAUCCCUCGCUGGUCUGAGAGGAUGACCAGCCAAACUGGAACUGAGACACGGUCCAGACUCCUACGGGAGGCAGCAGUGGGGAAUAUUGCACAAUGGGCGCAAGCCUGAUGCAGCCAUGCCGCGUGUAUGAAGAAGUCCUUAGGGUUGUAAAGUACUUUAAGCGGGUAGGCGUUACCCACAGAAGAAGCACCGGCUAACUCCGUGCCAGCAGCCGCGGUAAUUC
rnacentral:rRNA from 1 species